rnacentral:rRNA from 1 species
AAAAGAAAUCAACCGAGAUUCCCCUAGUAGCGGCGAGCGACGGGGAGCAGCCCAGAGUCUUAAUCAGCAUUAGCAUCAGGAGAACGGUCUGGAAAGUCCGGCAGUAAAGGGUGAUAGCCCCGUAUCCGAAGGUGUUAGUGUUGUGAACUCGACGAGUAGGGCGGGACACGUGUUAUCCUGUCUGAAUAUGGGGGGACCAUCCUCCAAGGCUAAAUACUCCUGAUUGACCGAUAGUGAACCAGUACCGUGAGGGAAAGGCGAAAAGAACCCCGGCGAGUGGAGUGAAAUAGAACCUGAAACCGUGUACGUACAAGCAGUGGGAGCCUUGAUUUAUCAGGGUGACUGCGUACCUUUUGUAUAAUGGGUCAGCGACUUAUAUUCUGUAGCAAGGUUAACCGUAUAGGGGAGCCGUAGGGAAACCGAGUCUUAACUGGGCGAAUAAGUUGCAGGGUAUAGACCCGAAACCCGGUGAUCUAGCCAUGGGCAGGUUGAAGGUUGGGUAACACUAACUGGAGGACCGAACCGACUAAUGUUGAAAAAUUAGCGGAUGACUUGUGGCUGGGGGUGAAAGGCCAAUCAAACCGGGAGAUAGCUGGUUCUCCCCGAAAGCUAUUUAGGUAGCGCCUUGUGAACUCAUCUUCGGGGGUAGAGCACUGUUUCGACUAGGGGGUCAUCCCGACUUACCAACUCGAUGCAAACUACGAAUACCGAAGAAUGUUAUCACGGGAGACACACGGCGGGUGCUAACGUUCGUCGUGAAGAGGGAAACAACCCAGACCGCCAGCUAAGGUCCCAAAGUCAUAGUUAAGUGGGAAACGAAGUGGGAAGGCUCAGACAGCCAGGAUGUUGGCUUAGAAGCAGCCAUCAUUUAAAGAAAGCGUAAUAGCUCACUGGUCGAGUCGGCCUGCGCGGAAGAUGUAACGGGGCUAAACUAUGCACCGAAGCUGCGGCAGCGAACGUAUCACUUAAACUGAUUAAGUGAUACUCAAAUGUAUCAAAACGAUUGACGGAGCGAAGCGACGUCAAUGCGUCCAACAAAGUCGAGGCGGAAACGUCAGGCAGUCAGUUUAAGGAUACGUUCGUUGGGUAGGGGAGCGUUCUGUAAGCCUGUGAAGGUGUGCUGUGAGGCAUGCUGGAGGUAUCAGAAGUGCGAAUGCUGACAUAAGUAACGAUAAUGCGGGUGAAAAACCCGCACGCCGGAAGACCAAGGGUUCCUGUCCAACGUUAAUCGGGGCAGGGUGAGUCGACCCCUAAGGCGAGGCAGAAAUGCGUAGUCGAUGGGAAACGGGUUAAUAUUCCCGUACUGGUGAUAAUUGCGAUGGGGGGACGGAGAAGGCUAGGCUAUCCGGGCGACGGUUGUCCCGGUUUAAGGAUGUAGGCAGGUGAAUUAGGCAAAUCCGGUUCACUAUAUGCUGAGGUCCGACGACGAGUCACUACGGUGAUGAAGUAGCUCAUGCCCCGCUUCCAGGAAAAGCCUCUAAGCUCUAGAUUAUCAUUAAUCGUACCCCAAACCGACACAGGUGGUCAGGUAGAGAAUACUCAGGCGCUUGAGAGAACUCGGGUGAAGGAACUAGGCAAAA